rnacentral:rRNA from 1 species
GAUCAUGGCUUAGGAUGAACGCUAGCGGCAGGCUUAACACAUGCAAGUCGAGGGGCAGCAUAAUGGAUAGCAAUAUCUAUGGUGGCGACCGGCGCACGGGUGCGUAACGCGUAUGCAACCUACCUUUAACAGGGGGAUAACACUGAGAAAUUGGUACUAAUACCCCAUAAUAUCAUAGAAGGCAUCUUUUAUGGUUGAAAAUUCCGAUGGUUAAAGAUGGGCAUGCGUUGUAUUAG